rnacentral:lncRNA from 10 species
GUCGCCUCCUACACAUAGGCAUUUUCUUAAGGAGUGUUCCUCUGCCCACAAUGAUCCCACUGCUAUUGCAUUGGAAAACUGCCUGAGACUUAAUCAAAGUCAAUGGAUCAAGGGUAUUUUGGUCUUAGGGAGUUGUACUGGAAAGGUUCUGUGCUUCAGAGGUCCUAUCUUGAUUUGGAAUUGAAUUGUCAGGUUGCAUCCUGAAGCUAACCAGUUUAUAAACUGAAUUUACUCUUUCUGAAAUUAUAAACCAGAGCCCUAAAAUACUUGUCUUGUAAGUUCCAGAUUUUCAUAAUUCUGUUUUCUCUAAGUGAAACUCUGCCCAUCUACUUAUAGAGAUGAAAGAAAGGACUAGCAUU